rnacentral:rRNA from 1 species
AAACGUAGGAGACGAGCGUUAUCCGGAUUUACUGGGCGUAAAGAGCGUGUAGGAGGCGGUACAAGUUGGAUGUGAAAGCUCCCGGCUUAACUGGGAGAGGUCGUUCAAGACUGUGCAGCUAGAGGGAAGCAGAGGUAGACGGAACUCCGGGAGUAGUGGUGAAAUGCGUAGAUAUCCGGAAGAACACCAGAGGCGAAAGCGGUCUACUGGGCUUUACCUGACACUGAGACGCGAAAGCCAGGGUAGCAAACGGGAUUAGAGACCCCGGUAGUCCUGGCCGUAAACGAUGCAGACUGGGCGUUUAUUGGGUAAAACCGAUGAGUGCCGAAGCAAACGCGAUAAGUCUGCCGCCUGGGGAGUACGGUCGCAAGAUUAAA